rnacentral:sRNA from 1 species
CGUCGAAUUCCGACGUACGGUCCUAAAGUUACGCCAAGAACGGAUAAUUACGACUUAAAGCAUUUGAUCGCGCGUACACAUGCAGCUGCGAUCAUACCAACACUAAUGCACCGGAUCCCAUCAGAACUUCGCAGUUAAGCGUGCUUGGGCGAGAGUAGUACUAGGAUGGGUGACCUCCUAGGAAGUCCUCGUGUUGCACCUCU